rnacentral:lncRNA from 13 species
AUGACUUCUCAAUACCAAGUUUAUUUGAAAAGGAAUGAAACCAAUGUAACAGAUUGUCUUGUGUCUAUCCUGCUUCCAAUAGAAGUCCCCUGUACGAAAACACACAAGAAGCUCUCAGAAGUUGAAAGGAACUCUGACUCAGUCUGGAGUGCCACCAGGGAAUGCACUGGGUCAGAAAGAGAAUGAGGAAACCACUUUGAGGCUACUGCAGAAACCCAGGGAGGAGAGACAGACUUGACGGCAGUGGUGGAAAUAAUCAGAGGUGGACUGAUAUGAAAAAGCAAAAACACGGUAUCUUGAAAUACAUUGGCUUUGGAGAGAAGGGCUAUUACAACGGCACCACUCAGGAAAAAGAGACUGCAAUAUUUGGGAAGAGAGAAGGCUGCUGAAGUGCUUGGAUAUAGCUCAGCCACUUUACUCAGCCACAUAGAGAACUCUCAGGCCACCACCAGUAUCAACCUUGGGAGCAACCUUUGAAUAGAGGAGAAUUUUUUUACAUCACGUCAAAACAAAAUACAUCUAAAAGUGCCUCAAAUAACUAAAUUUGGGUCUGUGAC